GCCUCGUUGGCGGAGUAGGCAGCGCGUCAGUCUCAUAAUCUGAAGGUCGUGAGUUCGAGCCUCACAUGAGGUG